rnacentral:tRNA from 1 species
UUGACAGAAGCCAAAAUUAGAGGCCUAUCACUGUUAAUGAUAAAAUUGAAAUUCUUUCCUGUCAAA